rnacentral:rRNA from 1 species
CACGUAGGGGGCAAGCGUUGUCCGGAUUUAUUGGGCGUAAAGAGCUCGUAGGCGGUUCGAUUAGUCGGGUGUGAAACCUCCAGGCUCAACCUGGAGACGCCACCCGAUACUGUCGUGACUAGAGUCCGGUAGGGGAGCGUGGAAUUCCUGGUGUAGCGGUGAAAUGCGCAGAUAUCUGGAGGAACACCGGUGGCGAAGGCGGCAUCCUGGACCGGUAUUGACGCUGAGGCGCGAAAGCCAGGGGAGCAAACGGG